AGUUAUCGUUUAUUUGAUAGUACCUUACUACUUGGAUAACCGUGGUAAUUCUAGAGCUAAUACAUGCUAAAAACCCGGACUCACGGAGGGAUGUAUUUAUUAGAUUAAAAACCAAUGCCUUCGGGGCUUCUUGGUGAUACAUAAUAACUUCGCGAAUCGCAUGGCCUUGUGCCGGCGAUGGUUCAUUCAAAUUUCUGCCCUAUCAACUUUCGAUGGCAGGGUCUUGGCCUGCCAUGGUUACAACGGGUAACGGAGGGUUAGGGCUCGACCCCGGAGAAGGAGCCUGAGAAACGGCUACUACAUCCAAGGAAGGCAGCAGGCGCGCAAAUUACCCAAUCCCGAUUCGGGGAGGUAGUGACAAUAAAUACCGAUACAGGGCUCUUUUGGGUCUUGUAAUUGGGAUGGGUACAAUUUAAAUCCCUUAACGAGUAACAAUUGGAGGGCAAGUCUGGUGCCAGCAGCCGCGGUAAUUCCAGCUCCAAUAGCGUAUAUUAAAGUUGUUGCAGUUAAAAAGCUCGUAGUUGAACCUUGGGCCUGGCUGGCCGGUCCGCCUCACCGCGUGCACUGGUUCGGCCGGGCCUUUCCCUCUGGGGAUCCCCAUGCCCUUCACUGGGUGUGGCGGGAACCAGGACUUUUACUGUGAAAAAAUUAGAGUGUUCAAAGCAGGCCUAUGCUCGGAUACAUUAGCAUGGAAUAAUAGAAUAGGACGUGCGGUUCUAUUUUGUUGGUUUCUAGGACCGCCGUAAUGAUUAAUAGGGACAGUCGGGGGCAUCAGUAUUCAAUUGUCAGAGGUGAAAUUCUUGGAUUUAUUGAAGACUAACUACUGCGAAAGCAUUUGACCAAGGAUGUUUUCAUUAAUCAGGAACGAAAGUUAGGGGAUCGAAGACGAUCAGAUACCGUCGUAGUCUUAACCAUAAACUAUGCCGACUAGGGAUCGGACGA
rnacentral:rRNA from 1 species